rnacentral:rRNA from 1 species
GAGUAUAAGCCAAUGGAGCUUGGAAGGCUUCCGCAGAUGGUGUCCAUCAUACGUGGUGUUCUUAAGACCUUGAGUCUCGCUCGUCAGGCGUAGCAUUGAGUUUGCCAGGUUAGCUGUCGUGCGGGGGUUCGGCUUGGAGGUCUCAGGCUUCGGCCGAAGGGCUUCCGGCUGUCCCCUUUAGAACGGACGUUCAGAGCUCUUGUGUCUAAUGCGGUUAUGCCCACCACAGCACGUUGUGAGGUCACCCACAGGCUCAAACUGCCGAUCGCGUAUCCAGGACGAUGGCAACGAUGCGUUGUUGGCGCGUGUGUGCGGGAGCGAGUCUCUCCACGCGCCGUCACACGCGUGUCUAGUCCUGGGUCGGGCGGCGACCGAGAUAAACCUGGUACGAUCCUCUUGCGACGAGCUGCUUUCUGGCCAGACCGACGCCCAGGCGCCUCCACUGUGCCGGAAGCGUCAAUCCCAGGCGGUGUGAACCCAGCUGCAUUAUGCAAGGUCUCUCAGCCGGGCGUUGGUCUGAGUGGUGUCAAGUCCAGCACCAUCGGUCACGUCUCGAAACACGGGCCAAGGAGUAUAGCAUGUGUGCAAGUCUAAGGGUCUCACAAAACCCGAAGGCGAAGUGAAAGCAAGACUGUGGCGGGGGCGCCACGGCAAACCCGCCGGCCUAGUGCGGCGCCUUGUGCGUCGCCUGGCUUUAAGCAGAGCUGAUCCUGUUUUCUCGGUUAAUUCUUGGUGCAGGCGCAAGCUCCGGGCUCACGUACAACACUGGUCACGCCUCGUGCGUGGCUGUGUUGUGAGC